GCCCGCUCAGAAACUUAAAUGAAUUGACGGGGGCCCGCACAAGCGGAGGAACAUGUGGUUUAAUUCGAUGAUACGCGAGGAACUUACCUGGGCUAGAACGCAAUCGGAAUCAGGCCGAAAGGUCUGCGCCAGCGAUGGCCGGUUGCGAGGUGCUGCAUGGUUGUCGUCAGCUCGUGUCGUGAGAUGUUGGGUUAAGUCCCGUAACGAGCGCAACCCUUGUCCUUAGUUACCAGCACGUUAUGGUGGGCACUCUAAGGAGACUGCCGGUGACAAACCGGAGGAAGGUGGGGAUGACGUCAAGUCAUCAUGGCCCUUACGGCCUGGGCUACACACGUGCUACAAUGGUCGGUACAAAGGGUUGCCAAGCCGCGAGGUGGAGCUAAUCCCAUAAAACCGAUCGUAGUCCGGAUCGCAGUCUGCAACUCGACUGCGUGAAGUCGGAAUCGCUAGUAAUCGUGAAUCAGAAUGUCACGGUGAAUACGUUCCCGGGCCUU
rnacentral:rRNA from 1 species